rnacentral:rRNA from 1 species
ACGCUCGACACCUACUGGAGGCAGCAGUGAGGAAUAUUGGUCAAUGGGCGCUAGCCUGAACCAGCCAAGUAGCGUGAAGGAUGAAGGCUCUAUGGGUCGUAAACUUCUUUUAUAUAAGAAUAAAGUGCAGUAUGUAUACUGUUUUGUAUGUAUUAUAUGAAUAAGGAUCGGCUAACUCCGUGCCAGCAGUCGCGGUAAUCUGAGCGGGCUGGCAAGGC